CCCACGUCAUGGCCACAACCAACACUACACCUGACUGAAUGAACAUUUCCCUCUACAGACAUGCAUUUCCUCAUUUCCUGCUUCAUUAUGAGCAUGCCCCAGCAUCUGCUUAGUGGAGGAUGAUCUUAGAAGAGGUAUUAGGAGGCCACUUGUGCGAUGGGAUCUUUGUCCUGCCUGGAUGAGUCACCAAAACCUCGAGGACAGCUCGAAUGGACUGUGGAAAAGCUGAGUGAGGGUGUGGUCCCUGCUGCAGGGAGAGCAAGACAGAGAGAACAGAUAGCUACAGGAUCCUGAGGGCA
rnacentral:lncRNA from 1 species